CACGGACACACAGAGGAUACAUAUUUGAAACUGCAAAAUGAUUCAACAUUUAAUAGUCUGUGCACUUGGAUCAUUUUGAACUGCUUUGGGCAGUGUUUUUCAACCUUAGGGUUAUGGAUCCAGUUGGGGUCGCCUGGAAUUCAAAUGGGGGUCGCCUGAAAUAUCUAGCAAUCGAUUAAAAAAAAAACUGAUAAUAUCUGUGCUAGUGCAUUUUGACUUGCCAAAAAUGUCAAAAUGUGGUUGGGGACCACUGUUUAGUUUCAUUUAUAGUAUUUUUCUCAUUACAUAAAGUGCACAAUACUGUAUAAUAUAAGACAUUUCACACCAUGCAUAUUGUUACUUUUUAAUUAUAAUCACCAUGUUGUAAAUUGGGUCACAAUGGUUGAUGGUCUUUUUUAAAGGUAUAAGUAAAAACUGGGCGAAACCUAGCUAUAAACUCUUGAU